CUUCUGGAAUCAGGGGCUUCAGGGAACUUCUAUCGUCCAGGACCCUGUCGGGGAGAGGAAACUCGAAGACGCGGACGGGAACUUAAAAUCCUCCAGCCGAGAGCAGAUCGAGCUCAUCUGCUAAAGCUUCACGCUCGAGAGUUUCUGGGCAGGGGGCCCCAACGAGGAACUCGUUUCGUCACGCCGUUAGUUUCUCCCUCCGUGCCCCCCUCCCCGGCUCGGAGGAGAUGGUAGAACCCACUUCCGGAUUUCCAUCCUCCCAGCCCCGCCUCCGGCCGCAGGAAAUCUCGCGAUGGAGGGAGGAGGCGGUACACCCCGAGAAAUACUUGAAGAAAGUCAGUCAGGAUGUAGUCUACCUACAGGUCUUGGAGCCAACGGUUUGAAGAAAAGCAGUUGGGGGUUCUUCCUUACUGGGAUCGUUGGUGGGACCCUGGUGGCCGUGUAUGCCGUGGCCACCCCGUUUCUAACACCGGCCCUCCGAAAAAUUUGUUUGCCAUUCGUUCCCGCAACUACAAAGCAGAUUGCCAACGUUGUGAAAAUGUUGCAUUGCAGAAGAGGAUCCCUGGUCGACAUUGGCAGUGGCGACGGACGUGUUGUGAUAGCAGCUGCAAAGGAGGGAUUCACCGCUGUCGGUUAUGAAUUAAACCCAUGGCUCGUUUGGUACUCCAGAUACCGUGCUUGGCAAGAAGGGGUGCAGGACUCUGCCAAAUUUUAUAUUUCAGAUUUGUGGAAGGUUACUUUUUCGCAGUACACAAACGUGGUUGUUUUUGGUGUGCCUCAGAUGAUCCUCUGCUUGAAUUCCAUGAAAGCGGCAAAUGAAGCUUACUUACUUCAAGGGAGAAGAAUGGAUCUCAAACAUGUGACCUGAAGCCACCCAGAAGAAGAGCUCUUGCUGACUUGAAAAGGGACAAAAUAUGGAGUGCCUAGGUCCAAGGAACACGUGCAGUGACGUCAGGAUUCUGCCUCUCUACCUUCUGAAUCUGCUUCUUCGAAUUCUCCCCUUCUCAGCCAGCACUUAGCAACUUUCACUUGCUGGCAUCGUCUCUUGCCAAGAACAGUGAGGAUGCUCCGAGAGACCCAGUGGCUACUUUCUUCUGGUGUCAGAUGAGAGGGGAAGGGGUGACUCUUGCCCAUCUUGCUGGAAGGCUCAAUGACACGUGUGUGAAAGUUCUCCUGCGACAGAGCACUGCCGUCCUACCAGGCUUCCGGCACCCAGAGCCCUCUGACUCGGCUGCUCCAAGAGGCUACACCCUCAGAGUAAGGCUGAAUUGGAAACAUUGCAGAAGUUACAAAGGCUAAAAACCAACUCCCAGCCAGCUUAAUCCCAGACAAGGAUAAAAUGAUCUGCGAGGGGAAAAAUUAAAUCCACUCUGGAUGAUGAUAAUCUUAUCCAAAGCCUUGAAUGCCUAUAUAAUUUUAUGAAAAAUUGUGUAUGAACACAACAUUGGCACUCAAUUAAAAAAAACUCUCCAGGUAUACAAAAGGGUAAGACUUGACCAAAACCAAGAGAAAAACAUAAUUAAACAAUAAAAAAUAGAGUUCUUAUACAGGAACGCCAAAUACAUAUACUUAAUGUGUUCAAGACAUAAAAUUGCAAGAUGAAGAAUUUCAGCAGGGAACUAGAAACCACAGAAAGGAAACAUUGGAAUUCUAUAAUAGAAAAAUAAAAAUAAAUUAAAUUCAGAUCUCAGUGAAUGGGCAUAACAUUAUAUUGAGGUACUGUAGAGAGAAUUGGUGAGCCAGAAACAAGUCUGUGAAAGACUAGCACAAAAAGUCAAAAGAUUAGAUGGGAAGAAGAGAAAGUAAGAGCCACAUGGAACACAACGAAAGGGUGUAAUUGUAGUUCCACAAAGAUAGGAGAAAGACGCAAUGGGCAGAAGCAAUACUUGAAGGAAUCAUGGCCAAGAAUUUCACAAAACUUCCAAAAAAUGUUCAAAGACAUCCAUCCUCAAAAUCAAGCUGGUGAGCCCCAAGAGGAUAAAUACAAAGGAAACUGCCUUGGACACGUCACUGUAAUUUCUGAAGACCAAAGAUAAAAGGAAAUCUUAAAAACAGUCAGAGGUGUUGAAAAGACAGAUCUUUGAAAUAGCAAGAUCAACAGCUGACUUCUGAUGGGAAAUCAUGGGAGUCUCAACGCAAUUGAAUAAUUUCCUCAAAGCAGUGAAAGAAGCCUAGAAUCCUUUCACUCGUGGCGAUAUUCUUCAAAAAUGAAGAUGGAAUAAAAACACUUUCAGAGAAGCAAAAAUUAGGAUUACUUGCCAGGAGCACAUCUUCACUGAAGGACCCAACGGAGGGAGUUUUUCAGUCAGGAGGAAAGUGAUCCCAGAUGGAGACAUGAACUGCUAAAAGGGAGACCAACAGAAACAGAAAUGUGUACCGGCAAAAAUCAACAAGAAUAAUAUAUCGAGAUGUUUAAUAUGCGUGUUGACUACAGACAUGAGGAGAACAGCAUGAACUUUGGGAGUCAGACCCAAUGAAGUACAUGAAAAGCUACCAUUGUUGGCCAGUGCUGCUGUCAGGACUCCCUGUCUCCACCUAUAAAGCUUACUCCUGAGACAUCAUCAACCAGAAACCACCAAGAUUCUGCUGCCUUCCUUCCUGCCAAGUUAUUGCCUGGAUUUGUAUUUCUGUGUAAAUAUAAGUUGACAGUGGCAGAGAGUGUAAUGUUGGCGGUAAGUAAAGCAACAUCUCCCAGUGCAUCCAGCGUGGGCAGUUGGUCUGUUUCUCAGUCUAAGAUCUUAGUGCUUUGAGUUUUUGUGCUUUGUGCAUGUUUGAGAGAGAAGGUGGAAGAGGCUAGACACUGAAACUGAACAUUUCAAACUGAAAAUGAUUAUGUAAUCUUGGUAACCAACCUCUGCAAUGAUUGUAUAUUACUUUAUUAAGUUGAUGUACCAUAGUUGACUUAACAACUUUCCUAUUGUCGAUCAUUUAAUGUGUUUCCAAAUACUUGCUAUUACGAUUGACCUUGAACGACACAGGUUUGAACUGAAGGGGUUCACUUAUACAUUGUUGUUGUUGUUGUAAAUAAGUACGGUACAGUAUUUUAAAUGUAUUUUCUCUGAUUUUGUUUCCUUUUAUUGUUCGAGGGCAAACUGUAUUAUCAAUAAUUCUACAACAAACAUCUUUGUGCGUAAAACUUUUUCUAGGCUGUAAGCACAGGUUCUACAUAUGGCAGCAAUGUCUUGUCCAACAGUUUCUGGUUCUCCUUUUUCCAUAGAAAUUUAGAUCCCAUGUCUGUCUUGAAUAGAGAUGGUAUCUACCAAUCUUGCGUUCUAGUGACUUCGUUUCCAAGUGAUUAAGUUCUGGCCAAUGGAAUGUGAGUGGAAGGGUAGUGCGCAAACUCAAUGAAGUUUCUGUAAAGGGAGGGGUUAUCUGCUUUUUCUCUUCCGUUCCUCCAGUUUCUGUCUGGGAUGUGAUGGUUGGAGCUUGAAUUCUGCCUUACACCAUGAGGUUUAGUAAUGGCAAAGUGGUGAGGUGCAACAAGCGGGGUCCCUCUGGUUCCAUCGCGCUCACUUGUAUGACAGUGCUGGGCUGCUUACAUGAGAACAAACAACUUUCUAUCUCGUGUAAGUAUUCUGGUUUGGGGGUUUUGCAGCUGUAUGCAAUCCUGUAGUACACUUGGGCUAACACGAAUGUCCUAGAUUUUAACAACAAUCAGUAAGUGGCAAAAGACUGAAAGGAGAGAUCCUGGAAGGCAAGGUAGGAACGCACCCAAUAUACACUUGCCCACUUCAGAGUUUUCCUUUCUGUGAUUGGCCAGGCUCAUGGGAUCUGGUUAGAUGCACCUUAGACCAACAUGCUAUAUCCAUCCAUGUCUACUGCUGCCUCCCUUGAAGCCAGAUGGAGCAGAUAUGGUUAUCCCCGUUUCUUCCUUAAUAAAACCAAACUUUCCCAGACAAACUGGAACACUUGCUAAAAUUAUAGGUUUUCCCACCUAUUAAACCCCUGAACUUACUGAAUCAUAAUGUCUGAGAGUGGAGUCCAAGAAGUAGUAUUUGUCAUAAGUUUACUGAAUGAUUCUUUUAAAAAAAAUUUUUUUUACACUUAUUUAUUUUUGAGAGACAGAGAGAGACAGCGUGAGCAGGGGAGGGGCAGAGAAAGAGGGAGACACAGAAUCAGAAGCACGCUCCAGGCUCCAAGCUGUCAGCAAAGAGCCCGAUGCGGGGCUCGAACCCACGAACCGUGAGAUCAUAACCUGAGGAGAAGUCGGACGCUUAACCGACUGAGCCACCCAGGCGCCCCAAGUUUACUGAACGAUUCUGAUGUGCUGAGAUGUUUGGCAACUUCAAGUCUUCUCUAUUUCGAGAUUAUCAUUUUGUUUUCCCAGUUAGUUGCCCUCGCUCUAUGAAAUUAAGCAACGUAAGAUGGAUCUGAGAAAACAUCUGACCUGACCUGGUGGUCUCAUCUUUGAGGGACAGAGAAUACAAGAACAUAAAUAGCUUUUUGCAUUAAGAGCCAUAAUCCCAGCACUUUCCCUUGACUUGAAUUCACCGAAUGUCUUCAAGUGUCUGUUGACCAUCUCCAGACCUCUCUCAGCGACCUUCAUCUAACAUCCUAAAAGUCCGGUGUCUGUCUGGUGUCAGAAUCAAACUCCCUUCUGUCUACACGAAACAGUGAGGUGCUCUAAAGAGAAGUGGGCCGCACAGUGGUAAGCGAUAUAGAUGCAUUUCUGUUCGUGUGGGGAUGUUUUCUCUAGUGGAAAUGCUUUCUCUUUGAACGAUACAUGACUUGGAAGUCAUUAAAUCAUCAUGGUCCUCGUGUCCCUCUGGGAAGAUUAGCUCCGUGAAUUGAGAGCUCUUGAAUAUUUAUUUCCUUGUGUUCAAAAUUUUGGACUCUCUGUUGCUAGAGCUGUAUAGUGGGUUCUUAAAAAGUGACCGCAAUUAUUCCUCUCCCUAUAUCCCGCAUCUUAGAGUGUGACCCCCACGAUUCUUUCCACGAGAGGUGGAGCCUGUGUCCCCUCCCCUUGGGUCUGGGCUGACCUUGGGAAUCCAUUUGAACAGGAGAGAGUGUGGAUGAAGUGGCCUCGCAUGCUUCCCUUGUUCUCUCAGAAGGCUGCCCUGUGUGAGCAAGUUGGGUUAGCCCACUGGAUGAAGAAGGACGUGUGGCCCACUCACGCUACCAGCCCAGCUCACAGCCAGCUAACCUACCUGACUGGCCACUGAACGUGGAUGCUGAGUGAGCCCAGCUGAGCCUCAGCCCAAAUGGCUGACCUGUGGAAUCACGAACUACAUAAGUAGUUGUUUUCAGUCACUACAUUUGGGGAUGGCUCUUUAUUCCGCAAAAGUCAGCUGAUCCAGGCAUCACCACAACUACAGAUAAUGAUGAAAGGCUGGGGAUGACCAUGCCACAGGGACAGUUUCUCGAAUGUCUCCAACUCUGAGCAGGUGAGGACGUUUCCUGUCCUGGUGAGGUAAAAAUAUAUCUUCCCUGAGAGUCUCCCCUGAGUAUGGCCAGGGCAAUUUGAUUUGAAGAAAGGUCCUACUGUUGGGUAAGAUAGCCUCGAGAGAACAAUGGCCUCUGCUGGUUUGUCUGAAGCAUCCUGUGUCUCUCCUCAUCAUCUACUCUGGGCUGAAGGGAGACACAGUUGUUACAGGAGAAGAGUUCCAGAUAUUUCAGCCCCAAAUCAAUGCUCCCUCCUCAGUGCUUUCUGGCUUUGUUUUCGUUUUGUUUAUUUUUUGACAUACAAUUCACAUAGAAUACAAUUCUUAGUAUAUGCACAAGGUUUGGCAACCAUCACCGCUCUCUAAUUCUGGAACAUUUCCGUCACUCCAGAAAGACACCCCCAUUCGUCACCUCAGUGACUUCCUAAACUUUUUUUCAGUUUGCAGAGUUUUAAAGAUUAAAUUUUUUUUCUGUAUCCGUUCCUCUUGUUCAAUUGUAAAAUGUGUGCGUUUGUGAUCAUGUCGGAUUUUCAUUAAAAAGUCAAACUUUUUCAAGGAAACUAGGAAACUUUUUUUUUUAGUAGAUGAAAUACAGAAAUAAAGCAACACAGAACAAAUAUGUGUAAAAGAGAAAGUAAAAUGCACUCUCACUCCCAUCUCCAUGGAGACCACCACUGUUUUCAGUUUGGGGUGUAUUUUUCCAGAAGAAGAGGAUGUUUUUACAGAUAUUAAAGCUCAUCCACGGCGAGUUUUAAUAAGACAUGUUCCUUUGGCUUGGGACCUGUGAGUUGAAAGUAAUUUUCAUGAUGUUCUGCUUGAUUUUGUGGGCCUCAGAAUUUUACUGAAGAUUUUUAAAAAAUGUUUAUUUUUGGGGGCGCCUGGGUGGCUCAGUCGGUUGGGCGUCCGACUUCGGCUCAGGUCAGGAUCUCGCGGUCCGUGAGUUCGAGCCCCGCGUUGGGCUCUGGGCUGAUGGCUCAGAGCCUGGAGCCUGCUUCCCAUUCUGUGUCUCCCUCUCUCUCUCUGCCCCUCCCCCGUUCAUGCUCUGUCUCUCUCU